rnacentral:rRNA from 1 species
GAUGAACGCUAGCGACAGGCUUAACACAUGCAAGUCGAGGGGCAGCACAGGUAGCAAUACCGGGUGGCGACCGGCGCACGGGUGAGUAACGCGUAUGCAACUUACCUAUCAGAGGGGGAUAACCCGGCGAAAGUCGGACUAAUACCGCAUGAAGCAGGGGCCCCGCAUGGGGAUAUUUGCUAAAGAUUCAUCGCUGAUAGAUAGGCAUGCGUUCCAUUAGGCAGUUGGCGGGGUAACGGCCCACCAAACCGACGAUGGAUAGGGGUUCUGAGAGGAAGGUCCCCCACAUUGGUACUGAGACACGGACCAAACUCCUACGGGAGGCAGCAGUGAGGAAUAUUGGUCAAUGGCCGAGAGGCUGAACCAGCCAAGUCGCGUGAGGGAUGAAGGUUCUAUGGAUCGUAAACCUCUUUUAUAAGGGAAUAAAGUGCGGGACGUGUCCCGUUUUGUAUGUACCUUAUGAAUAAGGAUCGGCUAACUCCGUGCCAGCAGCCGCGGUAAUACGGAGGAUCCGAGCGUUAUCCGGAUUUAUUGGGUUUAAAGGGUGCGUAGGCGGCCUUUUAAGUCAGCGGUGAAAGUCUGUGGCUCAACCAUAGAAUUGCCGUUGAAACUGGGGGGCUUGAGUAUGUUUGAGGCAGGCGGAAUGCGUGGUGUAGCGGUGAAAUGCAUAGAUAUCACGCAGAACCCCGAUUGCGAAGGCAGCCUGCCAAGCCAUGACUGACGCUGAUGCACGAAAGCGUGGGGAUCAAACAGGAUUAGAUACCCUGGUAGUCCACGCAGUAAACGAUGAUCACUAGCUGUUUGCGAUACACUGUAAGCGGCACAGCGAAAGCGUUAAGUGAUCCACCUGGGGAGUACGCCGGCAACGGUGAAACUCAAAGGAAUUGACGGGGGCCCGCACAAGCGGAGGAACAUGUGGUUUAAUUCGAUGAUACGCGAGGAACCUUACCCGGGUUUGAACGCAUUCGGACCGAGGUGGAAACACCUUUUCUAGCAAUAGCCGUUUGCGAGGUGCUGCAUGGUUGUCGUCAGCUCGUGCCGUGAGGUGUCGGCUUAAGUGCCAUAACGAGCGCAACCCUUGCCACUAGUUACUAACAGGUAAAGCUGAGGACUCUGGUGGGACUGCCAGCGUAAGCUGCGAGGAAGGCGGGGAUGACGUCAAAUCAGCACGGCCCUUACAUCCGGGGCGACACACGUGUUACAAUGGCGUGGACAAAGGGAGGCCACCUGGUGACAGGGAGCGAAUCCCCAAACCACGUCUCAGUUCGGAUCGGAGUCUGCAACCCGACUCCGUGAAGCUGGAUUCGCUAGUAAUCGCGCAUCAGCCAUGGCGCGGUGAAUACGUUCCCGGGCCU